AGCUCAUUUAUUUUUCUCCCUCCUUGGAAUCUGACAGGCCAAGGAGAAUUCUGGUUUCAGAGAGAUGCCAGAUUCUGUACUGACGCCAUCUAGGAAUGUAAAUGCUCAGUGUCACACUGCUAAGUGGGUAAAGGGUCUCCCCAGAACCACCACUAUUUGCUUGGCUGGAAGUUCCAAAGUCCCAAAGGAUCUUUGAUCCUCCUACAGACCUGGGAUUAGAAGCAUAUGCAAGACACCCAGCUUUCAUUGGUAUUUGGAUCUGAACUCCAGUCCUCAUGCCUCUGCUGCCAAGAGAAUCUGACUUUUCCUCAAGAAGUUCCCCAAACAAAUGACUUGGCUCCUUUCCCCAAUAUUAGCAGUGUUCUACAAGAAGAUGGAUGACCAUCAGGAACAUUGCAUGGACCACAUCGAAUAACAGGUGUGAAACCUACCUGGAGCUGAGCCCACAAGGGGGAGCUACAAUGGUUGUUGUUGGACUCAUCCUGACAACAGCUUUCUUUGCAGGAAAGAUUCUGAGGAUGGAAUGGAAAGCACCGGGUUUCUCACCUAUGAAGACAAGGCAUCAUGCAAAUGGGAUGAAUCUAGGCUGCCCUCAACAAGUAUCCGUCUCUAUUUACUUUGAAAAUAGGGAUAAAAAUGGAAUUGUUGGAGUAUUAUAUUGCAUAAUUAUGCUAUAUUAUUUAUGCCAUUUGGUAACAAAAGUUACUAAAUUACAGUGUGCUUUGCUAUCCAUCUCUGUACAGAACUUCAAAAUUGAAUUCCACUUCAAGAAAUUAUUUCAAAAUUACUGAGAAAAUGUCCUCUACUGACUUUAGGUUCCAGUUUAUUCAACACCAAUUCAUUCGGUGAUGAUGUCCUGAAAGAUCCCUGAAGUCCUGUGGAUGAAAUUCAUAUGACUCUGCCCUUCAAGUACUCGUUGUGACAGCUAGAGACUAAAUGCAUCCUGUUGUCGGUCUGAUGCUUUGUUGUUCUGAAUUGUUAAGAUAUUGUGACUUAUUGUAUAGCAAGACAGAGUAGUCCAGCUGCUUAUGACUAAGUACAUAUUAUAUAUGAGAUAGUAAAUGUUUGUGUACUUGAUAAUCAAUUAAAAAUUAAAUUUACUUAUUUUUAUUUUAUGUUUAUAUGUGUAUUGCCUGAAUAUAUGUAUGUUCAGCAUGAAUGCCCAAUGUCCACAAGCAUCAGAAGGGCCAUGGGAAAAUGAGUUACAGGGUGUUGUAAACCACAAUAUAGGUGCUGGGUUCUAAACCCUGGACUUCUACAAGAGCAGUAAAUGUUCAAAACCAAUGCAUCAUCUCUCAAAAUCCCCAAAUGCUCAAAACUUUUGUGGAAUGAAUAAAUGAACAUAGAUAAAUAUAUACUUAUUUAUAUGCAUAACACACACACAAACAUGGCGAGUCCAUUUAGUGUUGUUCCUUCUGCAUGUAUCUUGAGGACUGACCAGUUAGGAUUGCACAUCUGAGCGCUAACUUCUUUCUACAGCCUGUAAAUCCAGCUCUUCCUCCAUGGAUGGGGGCUUGUGAGAUUUUGUUACAUCUGGCAUAUCAACUGAUGGUGUCAUUUUGCAGGUUUUAUUUGGGCAACCAUGCCGUUGAGGUUUUACUGGUGCAGCUUCCCUUACACAGAAAGCACUACCGCCCAGCAGAUGUUAGUGGCCUCCAUUGGUCAAAUAUUUCUGCCUCAAUUUUUUUUUAAUGCUUCCAGAAUUUUAGGUUUAGAAAUUGAAUUGUAGAAAUGUCAGAUGGAUUUAGGUACCCCAUGUACAGUUGGUCUCUUCAUUUCGGCCAGUUUUUCUGUAAUAGUGUCCCUUUAAUGAAAGAAAAAAAAAAAAAGAAUGCAGGUAAAAAGGGAUUUCUGUUUUAGGAAAGUAGGAGUAGUCGGUUCUUCGUUAGAGUCCAUGACUAUGGUAAUGGUACCAAGCAUGCAUUCCUUCCUAUUUCAGGCAUUAAGUACAAUUGAAUGUUGGUUAUCCCAAUAAUAAUUGACAUCUUUGUGUAAUCUUGCCAUGUUGGCCGUCAUUGCAGCUCAUACAGGUUACAUCUGGGUAGAACUUAUGAUUGGUUUUCUUCUUUGGCAGCCUACAGAGCACCUUUCUAAACUAUGAGGGGCAGUUCUUGAGAACACUCUCAAGAAGUUAAUUCCAGUUUGAUUCUUCUAGGUUAUGUGUCUGAAGUGUGUCCUGUCUUCAAUAACAGAGACUUAUCUUCAAAUUCCGAGUUAACUAAGGGCAUCAGCAAGAUCCUAUAGUGUUUUGGGGUCUUAUGUACUAUCCUGACAAAAUUUCAAAGAGUUGUUUCUCAUAUUUGCAACCAGGGUUUUAUUAAUCUAUGUUUUUUGGGAAAAACAUUAUAACUCCAAAUGAUGUAACAUCAUUUACUCUUUAUGUAUUUGUGUAUGUAUCAAUCAUCUAAUAACCCAUCCAUCUAUCAUUUGUCACUUAUACAUCCAUCAUCUCUAUAGUUAUACACUGAUGCAUACACAUGUGUACACAUGCAGAA